AAAAAACUGAAUAUUCAAGGAUAUAAAAGUUCAAUGUAGGGUAAUAACUGCUUGAUCGAAGGAUAAAUCUGACUGCCAUUCUGGGGUCAAGAAGGAAUUUUUUUCCUAGAUGGUUGCAAAAUUGGAAAUGCUUCAAACUGGGGUUUUUGCCUUCUUUUGGAUCAACAGAAAAAAACAAAUGCGAGGAAGGCUGAACUUGAUGGAC